CUUCAUGACACCAGAGCAAUCUUCAGCACUGCUAAAACAGAACCUAGCUAAUAGCAGGGACUCAAGUGAGAUUUCUAGAAUGAAGAGAUGGAUAAGCCUGUGGAGAGGAGUUGGCACGUAGUAGAUGCUAAUCCAUGGCAGCUAUUACUCUUGUUAAAAGUAAACCUACCCCCACCACCAACAGCGAGGUCAACGCCCACAGCCUAGACCUGGGAGGGGCUGGGUCCAGCAGACCCGGCUUAAGCAUUUUGGCUAAAGGCUGCUCAGGACUGACCAUCCAGCCUCCCACCUGCAGACCUGGACUCCCAACCCCACAGGUCCAAAGCGUCACACAGGUGAGUGCAGCCCUGCGCAUGCUCCACCUGGGUUGCAGGAGGAUGCAGAUAACAGUAUGCAAAUCUUGGAACCCCAAGCAGAUGCUGUGUGUCCCCAGAGUGCCAUGGAAGCUGUCCAUCCCAGAGCUGAGGAAGUCACCACGACUUGGGGGUCCUGGGAGCCAGCUGGCGGGUGAAUAGACAGAGUAGGCACCUGCAGGGGUGUGGGCACCAGGAGAUGGGCAGAAGGCGGGAGCAGGACUCGUUUAUGGGGAGAAGAGAGCAGGCGGAGAGCAGGAUGGGAGCAGGAGCUGGGCUUGGCUCUCUGGAAAACUCAAUUUUGUGGAAAUCUGGGUCUGAAAUGAAAUGAGCCUUUGGGGAUGGAAUUUAAUAUUGUCUCAGAGCCUUUGUCUUCAUUUAGGGCAACGGGAUUGCAUUAUCCUGGCUUCUCCCUUCGUCCCCAUUACAUUUAGUUUGCAUUUAUUCACUUAUGAGUCUUGAAACAAGAAGUUGAAAUGCGUAAAUGUACUUUUUUUCCUGAGCUACAUUAAUUUUGGAGUAAGAUUUAUUCUGCCCAGUGCUCCUUUUAUGGUUACUGAUGAGCUCCUGAGGCCCCCGUAGGGGCUGCAACCAGACAGGUGAGACUGGAGAGGUGGGGUGGGCAUUCCCAGCAAGGCUGGCGCCCAGGGACUUUUCAUCUGAGCUGGGUCCUCAGCCCGAUGACAGCAUUUUCCCCAGAGGAGUGUGCUGGCAUAG
rnacentral:lncRNA from 1 species